rnacentral:rRNA from 1 species
GACGAACGCUGGCGGCGUGCCUAAUACAUGCAAGUCGAACGCUUCUUUCCUCCCGAGUGCUUGCACUCAAUUGGAAAGAGGAGUGGCGGACGGGUGAGUAACACGUGGGUAACCUACCCAUCAGAGGGGGAUAACACUUGGAAACAGGUGCUAAUACCGCAUAACAGUUUAUGCCGCAUGGCAUAAGAGUGAAAGGCGCUUUCGGGUGUCGCUGAUGGAUGGACCCGCGGUGCAUUAGCUAGUUGGUGAGGUAACGGCUCACCAAGGCCACGAUGCAUAGCCGACCUGAGAGGGUGAUCGGCCACACUGGGACUGAGACACGGCCCAGACUCCUACGGGAGGCAGCAGUAGGGAAUCUUCGGCAAUGGACGAAAGUCUGACCGAGCAACGCCGCGUGAGUGAAGAAGGUUUUCGGAUCGUAAAACUAUGUUGUUAGAGAAGAACAAGGACGUUAGUAACUGAACGUCCCCUGACGGUAUCUAACCAGAAAGCCACGGCUAACUACGUG